CCCUUAGAUGUCCGGGGCCGCACGCGCGCUACACUGAAGGAAUCAGCGUGGCUUUCUCCCUGACCCGAAAGGGUUGGGAAACCCGUUGAAUCUCCUUCGUGAUAGGGAUUGGGGCUUGAAAUUGUUCCCCAUGAACGAGGAAUUCCCAGUAAGCGCGAGUCAUAAGCUCGCGUUGAUUACGUCCCUGCCCUUUGUACACACCGCCCGUCGCUACUACCGAUUGAACGGUUUAGUGAGGGCCUCGGAUUGGUCUCGGCCCGCACUUUACCGGGCGGCGCCGUUGGUCGAGAAGACGCUCGAACUUGAUCGUUUAGAGGAAGUAAAAGUCGUAACA
rnacentral:rRNA from 1 species